rnacentral:rRNA from 1 species
GCGUGCCUAAUACAUGCAAGUCGAGCGGACCGAUGGGAGCUUGCUUCCUUAGGUCAGCGGCGGACGGGUGAGUAACACGUGGGUAACCUGCCUGUAAGACUGGGAUAACUCCGGGAAACCGGGGCUAAUACCGGAUGCUUGAUUGAACCGCAUGGUUCAAUCAUAAAAGGUGGCUUUUAGCUACCACUUACAGAUGGACCCGCGGCGCAUUAGCUAGUUGGUGAGGUAACGGCUCACCAAGGCGACGAUGCGUAGCCGACCUGAGAGGGUGAUCGGCCACACUGGGACUGAGACACGGCCCAGACUCCUACGGGAGGCAGCAGUAGGGAAUCUUCCGCAAUGGACGAAAGUCUGACGGAGCAACGCCGCGUGAGUGAUGAAGGUUUUCGGAUCGUAAAACUCUGUUGUUAGGGAAGAACAAGUACCGUUCGAAUAGGGCGGUACCUUGACGGUACCUAACCAGAAAGCCACGGCUAACUACGUGCCAGCAGCCGCGGUAAUACGUAGGUGGCAAGCGUUGUCCGGAAUUAUUGGGCGUAAAGCGCGCGCAGGCGGUUUCUUAAGUCUGAUGUGAAAGCCCCCGGCUCAACCGGGGAGGGUCAUUGGAAACUGGGGAACUUGAGUGCAGAAGAGGAGAGUGGAAUUCCACGUGUAGCGGUGAAAUGCGUAGAGAUGUGGAGGAACACCAGUGGCGAAGGCGACUC